rnacentral:lncRNA from 1 species
CGGACGGUUGUCUCCAUCCUUGGAGCGUAUGUUAUUCAGCAAAUGGUAAACCUUGAAGAAGAGCCUUCCUGUGCCCUCAUAUAGGCCUUUCCUGGCAGGAUUGACGUUAGAGAGAUCAUUACAUGGGCUUCCUUCCACCAAUCACCAAGUCAAAUGGGCCCCCCUCUUCAAUAUUUUUCUUGGUGAUUUUCCAGACGUCAUUGACAUAUUUGAUUUGGCCUUCAUGUUUAACGGUUCCUACAGCAAUGGCCCCUGCACAGACUUCAGAAGCAAUGGACCUCUCCACUUUAAUACCCAACUCCUUGAGCACCAAGCACCCUGUUGCAAUUCCAUCAAACAGAGACAGGACCCUAAUGGGCCUCCUUUUGGCUGCAGGAACUGCUGGGUACAACCUGGGCUGCUCAAAUUCUUCUAGGUCAGGAUCAGGAGUCAUCUGCAGCUUCUUAUGUUCAUAGAAGUUAUGCCUUGUAUGUUGGUUAUGUGAUACUAAAGCCUAGAUGGCUAAAAUUAUAUGUAGAAACUCGGAACUGUCAGUAUCUGAGAUACUUUUUGAUUUUCAAAAAUAAGAGGAAGUUUUGGUUGUAUUUUGAAAA